rnacentral:rRNA from 1 species
UACGGGGGGGUAAGCGUUGUCCGGAAUUAUUGGGCGUAAAGAGCUCGUAGGCGGUCUGUUGCGUCGGCUGUGAAAACCCGGGGCUCAACUCCGGGCCUGCAGCCGAUACGGGCAGACUAGAGUUCGGCAGGGGAGACUGGAAUUCCUGGUGUAGCGGUGAAAUGCGCAGAUAUCAGGAGGAACACCGAUGGCGAAGGCAGGUCUCUGGGCCAUUACUGACACUGAGACGGCGAAAGCGUGGGGAGCGAACAGG